AGUGAACGCUGGCGGCGUGCUUAACACAUGCAAGUCGAACGAGAACGGGAUAUAGCUUGCUAUAUUUGUCAGCUAAGUGGCGCACGGGUGAGUAAUGUAUAGAUAACCUGCCCUCUAGAAAGGAAUAACAGUUGGAAACGACUGCUAAUGCCCUAUAUGCCUUUAAUACAUAAGUAUGCAAGGGAAACGCUUUAGUGCUAGAGGAUGGGUCUGUAUGGUAUCAGCUUGUUGGUGAGGUAAUGGCUCACCAAGGCUAUGACGCCUAACUGGUUUGAGAGGAUGACCAGUCACACUGGAACUGAGACACGGUCCAGACUCCUACGGGAGGCAGCAGUGGGGAAUAUUGCACAAUGGACGAAAGUCUGAUGCAGCAACGCCGCGUGGAGGAUGACACAUUUCAGUGCGUAAACUCCUUUUAUAUAGGAAGAUAAUGACGGUACUAUAUGAAUAAGCACCGGCUAACUCCGUGCCAGCCGCCGCCGUAA
rnacentral:rRNA from 1 species